ensembl:lncRNA
GUUCUCUGUAUCAUCAUUCUCAUGGGGAGUCAGGCAUUAGACCAGCUGUGCUUCUCCUGCUGUCCUUUAAAUAAAGAUUGGUAUGUGUUCAUUUCCAGCUCUAGAGCUAUGUCUGUGUUGUGUCACAAUCUAUAGAACUCACAUGUAAAGCACAGUCCUUCAGAGACUAGUAACAGCUCUACAAUGUGCUUAUUCUUCCAUGGGUAAGAUACCCUCUUGUCCAUGCUAUAGGGAAAGAAAAAAGGAGAAGGAAAAUAACACUUACUGAGCUUGAUGGAUGUGUUCAAUCUGCCCUCAGCCCCACUUUCCAUCCUUCUCCACCCUGCUCCAUGGCUCACCUCCUGUGACCUUAGUGGACUUUCUUACCAAAUGGCUUCAAGCUGGGUUUGGCCAAUAGAGGACCCUGGAGGAAUUGGAAGGAGACAAGGAGAAAAGGAUGGAAGCUGCCCUAUUCAUUUCCCGAUACCUCAGAGGUUGCCAAGGGCUGACCACAUCUCUCCACAGAAGGUCUCAGCAGCUCUCUGAUUCACCAUCUGUUCUUCCAUGUCCCAGUCUCUAACAAGGCAACCACACAGUCGUCCUAACAGCACCCCAAAACAAGCUCCACCUCCUGGAGGGUGAUUACAAGGACCACUACCCUUCACAGCUUUUCUUAAACACCUUAAUUGGUGGAAAUUCAGGAAAAGGUAGAAUAAGUCCACAGUCAAGACAAGCUAUGUGCAGUAGGAUUUUAAAAAAUAGCAUUAACGGGUUGAAAGUAGUUCAUCUGGAAGUAUUUUCUUUGGUAAGGCAAGAUGGAGAUUGAUUAGUUCUGGGACCUAAAAGAAAGACCUUCACGGGAACCUUAGACAAUAAGCCAAUUCAUCCAGGAUCUACCUACACUUCCGAGGGAUAACAAGGAUCUUCAUUUUUCUGGCCCCAAGCAGGGCAUCAACCAAAACUGAGACGCAGCCAGUUUGGUCUUUUUCUAGGGCCGUAUAGGGUAGGAAGUAAAGUUAAGAAAACUAUCACUCGCUGAGCCCUGCUAUGCAUGAGGCACCAUUGGGUAAGUUAAUAAGUUACUGUAGGUCACAAAAAUAGAAAAUACAGAGGCCAGGACUUGAAGAAUAUUUAAAUAUUGAUUGUCUAGUCCCUCCACCUCCACCGUCCUACUAAGUUGUAAUGUCUAUGGGGGAAAUAGCUUGUCAGUCUGUUGCUGAAUUCCCAGAGCCUACCAUGGUACUUGGCAAUAAACAAAGAGUUCCAUGAAAGCACGCUGAGUAAAUGAACAAAUGAAUGAGUUCUUUCUGACUUCAAAGCUGAGGGAUAUUCCACUCCACCUUACUUGUGGCUAGAAAAACAAAAUUCAAAGGGCAGUUGCUCUUAGAUUUUGAGAUGUCUCCUCUGAAGAGUAUUGAUUUCAGGAUAGAGUUUCUCCCUUUUUACAAACCAAACCUCCGCCAUCCAUAGAAGUUAUCAUUAAAAACCACACAGUGCCAUCAAAUUGGAAAACCACAAUUCCUGUUAGCAGACAAACCCAUUCCCCUUAAUGAUGAUGUAACCACUUCACUUCGGUCUCCACAGUUAACUUGGGAGCAAAUUGGAAACCAAAAAGAAAGCUUAGCAGAAACAAUUAUAUUAUAAAUGAAAAUUCCCAUGAAUACCUCAUGCUGUUUUAGGUUUGCUUUGGCUGUGUUUGCAGCCAAAAACCCAGUCAAUCAACCAAUUGUUCA